GACGAACGCUGGCGGCGUGCCUAAUACAUGCAAGUUGAGCGCUGAAGGUUGGUACUUGUACCAACUGGAUGAGCAGCGAACGGGUGAGUAACGCGUGGGGAAUCUGCCUUUGAGCGGGGGACAACAUUUGGAAACGAAUGCUAAUACCGCAUAAAAACUUUAAACACAAGUUUUAAGUUUGAAAGAUGCAAUUGCAUCACUCAAAGAUGAUCCCGCGUUGUAUUAGCUAGUUGGUGAGGUAAAGGCUCACCAAGGCGAUGAUACAUAGCCGACCUGAGAGGGGAGUGGGCCACAUUGGGACUGGGACACGGCCCAAACUCCUGCGGGGGGCGGCAGUAGGGGAUCUUCGGCAAUGGACGAAAGUCUGACCGAGCAACGCCGCGUGAGUGAAGAAGGUUUUCGGAUCGUAAAACUCUGUUGGUAGAGAAGAACGUUGGUGAGAGUGGAAAGCGCAUCAAGUGACGGUAACUACCCAGAAAGGGACGGCUAACUACGUG
rnacentral:rRNA from 1 species